rnacentral:lncRNA from 1 species
UCAGUUUUGGCUGCAGCGCCCGCGUAGAUCGCUUCGGCCGGGUUCUACGCCCGGCUCAACUAUGAGCCGGUGCGCCCAGGCGGCGGAAGUGGCGGCCACAGUGCCAGGUGCCGGCGUCGGGAACGUGGGGCUGCGGCCGCCCAUGGUGCCCCGUCAGGCGUCCUUCUUCCCGCCGCCGGUGCCGAACCCCUUCGUGCAGCAGACGCAGAUCGGCUCCGCGAGGCGGGUCCAGAUUGUCCUUCUUGGGAUUAUCUUGCUUCCAAUUCGUGUCUUAUUGGUUGCGUUAAUUUUAUUACUUGCAUGGCCAUUUGCUGCAAUUUCAACAGUAUGCUGUCCUGAAAAGCUGACCCACCCAAUAACUGGUUGGAGGAGGAAAAUUACUCAAACAGCUUUGAAAUUUCUGGGUCGUGCUAUGUUCUUUUCAAUGGGAUUUAUAGUUGCUGUAAAAGGAAAGAUUGCAAGUCCUUUGGAAGCACCAGUUUUUGUUGCUGCCCCUCAUUCAACAUUCUUUGAUGGAAUUGCCUGUGUUGUAGCUGGGUUACCUUCUAUGGUAUCUCGAAAUGAGAAUGCACAAGUCCCUCUGAUUGGCAGACUGUUACGGGCUGUGCAACCAGUUUUGGUGUCCCGUGUAGAUCCGGAUUCCCGAAAAAACACAAUAAAUGAAAUAAUAAAGCGAACAACAUCAGGAGGAGAAUGGCCCCAGAUACUAGUUUUCCCAGAAGGUACUUGUACUAAUCGUUCCUGUUUGAUUACUUUUAAACCAGGAGCCUUCAUUCCAGGAGUUCCAGUGCAGCCAGUCCUCCUCAGAUACCCAAACAAGCUGGAUACUGUGACCUGGACAUGGCAAGGAUAUACAUUCAUUCAGCUUUGUAUGCUUACUUUCUGCCAGCUCUUCACAAAGGUAGAAGUUGAGUUUAUGCCAGUUCAAGUACCAAAUGAUGAAG